rnacentral:rRNA from 1 species
UGUUUCGGCUAGGGGGCCAUCCCGGCUUACCAACCCGAUGCAAACUGCGAAUACCGGAGAAUGUUAUCACGGGAGACACACGGCGGGUGCUAACGUCCGUCGUGAAGAGGGAAACAACCCAGACCGCCAGCUAAGGUCCCAAAGUCAUGGUUAAGUGGGAAACGAUGUGGGAAGGCCCAGACAGCCAGGAUGUUGGCUUAGAAGCAGCCAUCAUUUAAAGAAAGCGUAAUAGCUCACUGGUCGAGUCGGCCUGCGCGGAAGAUGUAACGGGGCUAAACCAUGCACCGAAGCUGCGGCAGCGACGCUGAUGCGUUGUUGGGUAGGGGAGCGUUCUGUAAGCCUGCGAAGGUGGCCUGUGAGGGUUGCUGGAGGUAUCAGAAGUGCGAAUGCUGACAUAAGUAACGAUAAAGCGGGUGAAAAGCCCGCUCGCCGGAAGACCAAGGGUUCCUGUCCAACGUUAAUCGGGGCAGGGUGAGUCGACCCCUAAGGCGAGGCCGAAAGGCGUAGUCGAUGGGAAACGGGUUAAUAUUCCCGUACUUGGUGUUACUGCGAAGGGGGGACGGAGAAGGCUAUGUUGGCCGGGCGACGGUUGUCCCGGUUUAAGCGUGUAGGUGUGUGUUCCAGGUAAAUCCGGUUCACUUUAACACUGAGGCGUGAUGACGAGGCACUACGGUGCUGAAGCAACAAAUGCCCUGCUUCCAGGAAAAGCCUCUAAGCAUCAGGUAACAUCAAAUCGUACCCCAAACCGACACAGGUGGUCAGGUAGAGAAUACCAAGGCGCUUGAGAGAACUCGGGUGAAGGAACUAGGCAAAAUGGUGCCGUAACUUCGGGAGAAGGCACGCUGACACGUAGGUGAAGUGAUUUACUCAUGGAGCU